AAUGAAUUGCCUGAUGAAAAGGAUUACCUUGAUAGGGUAAAUCAUAUAAUUGAAAAGUUAUAUUCAUUA
rnacentral:tRNA from 1 species